rnacentral:rRNA from 1 species
CCCGUCCUACGGGGCGCAGCAGUGGGGAAUAUUGCACAAUGGGGGGAACCCUGAUGCAGCGACGCCGCGUGAGUGAAGAAGUAUUUCGGUAUGUAAAGCUCUAUCAGCAGGGAAGAUAAUGACGGUACCUGACUAAGAAGCCCCGGCUAACUACGUGCCAGCAGCCGCGGUAAUACGUAGGGGGCAAGCGUUGUCCGGAUUUACUGGGUGUAAAGGGUGCGGAGGUGGCAGGGCAAGUCAGAUGUGAAAGCCCGGGGCCCAACCCCGGUACUGCAUUUGAAACUGUCCGGCUGGAGGGCGGGAGG